AUCCAGCUGACGAGUCCUAAAUAGGACGGAAUGUGUGUUUUGGAU
rnacentral:hammerhead_ribozyme from 1 species